rnacentral:rRNA from 1 species
UACAGAGGUCUCGAGCGUUGUUCGGAUUUACUGGGCGUAAAGGGAGCGUAGGCGGUUGGGUGUGUCGAACGUGAAAGCCCAAAACUCAACGAUGGAAAUGCGUUCGAAACUGCCCGGCUGGAGUACUGGAGAGGAGAGCGGAAUUCUCGGUGUAGCGGUGAAAUGCGUAGAUAUCGAGAAGAACACCGGUGGCGAAGGCGGCUCUCUGGCCAGAUACUGACGCUGAGGCUCUAAAGUCAGGGGAG